GGGAUGUGACUCAGUGGUUGAGCACCUACUCAACAUGUAGAAGGUCCCAGGUUUAAUCCCCAGCAUCUCCA
rnacentral:tRNA from 1 species